ACAGCGAAUUAUUUAUUGGUUUUCUUUGCUUCAGGUGUGUCGUCUAUGGAUAGCAACAACCGAGGCGGAAGGCCGGAGCGAGGCGAUUGGAGCAUUUUUUAAUGGCCGAAUGCCGAAGAAUAUCCCGCGCUGUUCCUGUCAUUUGCUUCCCAGUUGACGAAUUCCAUCCAAAUGUCCAUGGCGAUGUCUUUUCGCUUUCCACCGCAAAUCCAAAGCAGCAGAAGGUAAAGAAAGAGGCAGCUCUGCGAAACCGGGAAGCUGAGGUUCGUUGCUUUUUAUCCCCUUUUGCCCUUGCAAGCUCGCUCUUUUGUUCACAAGUUCGGACAAAAAGCGGCCUUUUGCUCCCGAAAAGCCAGUGUGUCUGUUGAUUGGGAUGCGCGAACUGAGCUAAUCGAUUGCGAUGGAGAGUGACGAAGCGUGAGGGAAAGAGGGAGCUUGCGAUUUGGUGGCCGUGAGAUCGGGAUCGAUGCUGGCCGGAGCUGCUUCGUCGCAGACUGGCCCAAGGGAGAUGGAGGACGAGGAGAAGGCGUACGUGGCGGUGGUGAAGCAGGUCAAGGAGGGGAAGGCCAACUUGGCGUGGGUGCUGCAGAACACCAGCAAGUACUGCAAGAUAGUUCUCCUGCACGUCCACCAACCGGCGCAGAGGAUUCCUACCGCAUUGGGUUGGUUUCCGGCCAGCAAGCUUGAGAAUCAAGAGGUUGCAGCAUAUAGACGCAUGGAAGAAGAAAACAUGCAUGGAAAUUUAGAUGAAUACGUCAAUAUGUGUUCCCAAGUAAAGGUGCAUAAAGCUGAGAAAGUUGUAAUUGAGAGGGAUGAUAUUGCCGAAGGAUUAACUGAGUCCAUAGUUUCUCACGGAAUUACCAAGCUUGUAAUGGGAGCAGCUGCAAGCAAAAAUUACUCAAGGAAAAUGAAGGCUCCACGGUCGAAAACGGCUCUUGCCGUGAAACAGAAGGCUCAUCCUUCAUGCAAGAUUUGGUUUAUAUGCAAAGGGAAUUUGAUAUGCACCAGGGAGGCUUUGCUUGAUGGGUCCAUUGUAUCUCAGUCAUUCACAGCAAGCCCAAUUUCAAAAACAAGCCAAUCUGAAAUCCAUAGACCAAUAUCUGCAUCUCUUUCACGAGGAGGGCCAACAAACUGUUCAAGUAUUGCACCAGGAAAACAGGACAUAGUUACUCAAAGAUCUUUGUCUGACGACUUGUCUCCAUACCGAGAUUUGACGAUGAGAACUUCACCUACACCUAGCAAAAAACUAGUCAGAUCAUCCACAACAGAGAGCAGAGAAAGUAAAGAGCCAUCAAGAUCAACAUCAGAGAGCAAAGGAAGUAGUGUUGUGGAUCCCUUGGAUGCUGCUUCAAGUAUUUCAGACUAUUCUGUGUUUGAUGAAGAGAAGAGUGAUAUGGCUUCUUUGUCAACAAUGCAAGAUGAUGCCGAUAGAGAAGGUGCAUCACUCAUUUUACAAGUGAAGCAUGAACCUGAAGAGUAUAAUAAGCUACUAUCUCCACAUCAAGAUCAGGUAAAUCUAGGUGUUGAUGAUGUCCUGUGUGAAAAGCUGCAAACUGCUCUAGAUGAAGCAGAAAGCUUCACACGUGAAGCAUAUGAAGAGUUUUACAAGCGUCAGAAAGCUGAAAAAGAUCUAAACGAGGCCAUACAGAAGGUCAAAAUAGUUCAAAAUUUGUACAACCAAGAGUUCAAACAGAGGAUAGGUAUUGAAGAAGCAUUAGCAAAAGAAAAGUCAGCACUGUUAGCAUUAAAGAAACAUCAAGAUGAGGUCUACGAAGAACUCAAAAAGGCAUACCAAAAGAUGGAAGCUCUGCAACUUCAGAAUUCUGAUUCAGACCAUAUUCUCAAAGAUAUUAAAAAGAAAUUGUCUGAGGCAUAUAGUCAUCUUGAUUCAAUCCGACAAGAGCAUGAUGUGUUGCAGCAGGAGCGAGACAAAGCAAUGAGAGAAAAUCAAGAGCUGAAACGAAUGAAAGAGGAAGCGACAUCCAGCAUUCAUGAAGCUGAUAACUUCUCAAUAUUCUCCCUUUCAGAAUUGGAGCAAGCAACUGAAAACUUUAAGGAAGAAUCAAAGAUUGGUGAAGGUGGAUAUGGAUGUGUAUACAAAGGUUUUCUUCGCCAUACAACAGUAGCUAUAAAGAGAUUGAAUCCACAAGGCAUGCAAGGAAAAGCAGAAUUUCAGAGAGAGAUGAAUGUUUUGAGUAAAGUAAGGCAUCCCAACCUUGUCACUCUAAUAGGAGCAUGUCCAGAAGCUUGGGCUCUUGUUUAUGAGUUUCUUCCCAAUGGAAGCUUGGAAGACCACCUUAAUUGUAAGAAAAAUGCACCUCCACUUAUGUGGCAGACACGCACUUGUAUUGCUGCUGAGAUAUGUUCAGCUCUUAUCUUCCUCCAUUCCUGUAAACCCUUCAGUGUGGUCCAUGGUGAUCUUAAGCCUGGAAACAUUCUUCUAGAUUCAAACCUUGUGAGCAAACUAGGAGACUUUGGUAUCUGUCGUCUUCUAGUCCAAUCUAUGAACAGCACUGCCCUCUAUCACUGCACACGCCAGCCAAAAGGCACAUUUGCAUAUAUGGAUCCUGAAUUGCUCACAUCUGGGGAAAUUACUAUAAAAUCUGAUAUGUACUCCUUUGGAGUUAUCCUGCUACGUCUUCUUACCGGACGGCCAGCAUUUGGAGUUAGCAAAGUAGUUCAAGAGGCAUUGGAUAAAAAUUGUCUGCAUAAGAUACUUGAUGGUUCCGCAGGGGACUGGCCUUAUUUGCAUGCUGAGAAGUUGGCAAAAGUGGGUUUGAAAUGUUGUCAGAUGAAAAGGAGGAACCGUCCAGAUGCCACAGAAGCAUGGAGAAUUCUCGAUCCCUUGACAAAGUCCUCAUUUUCAGGGCCACUAUUAUCAUAUAGAUUAACGGCAAAAGACAGCCCCUACAUCCCGUCCUACUUCAUCUGCCCAAUAUUGAAGUGCUCGUCCUCCUCUUUUCAAUGGAGACGAUUUCCCCCACUGCAAGAGGCUGAUGGAGGUGUACUUGAAGACUGACUUCGACUAAUGGUUCAACGUCACCAAAGGAUACAAGGCGCCAGUCGACCACAACACCGGAAUUCCAAUGGAUCCGGAAAAUUAGAAUCCGGAAAUGAAGAAGAAGGCCCAGAUUGACUUCAAGGCCCUCAACACAAUCCAGUGUGGACUAACGAAGGAAGAGCUAAACUGCGUCGGUCCGCAUGAAAACGUAAAGGAGUUAUGUGACAAGCUUAUAGAACUACACGAAGGAACCAAUGACGCAAAGGUAACAAAAAGAGACUUAUUUUUUUAAAAAAUAUUUAACAUUAAAAUGCAGGAAGGAGAAUUCACUAGUUAAUUGCACGUGAGGAUAAAAGACAUCUUCAACGAGUUCCACACAAUUGACCAUCAGAUGGAGAACCGAGAUUUGAUAAGGAACGCCAAAAGAAGGAACUAAACUAGAACUUGAAGCUUACUCAGAUGAUGAAGAAUACCUGGUGAACUUGGUAAGAAAAAUGUUCACUAGGAGAAAUAAAAAUUUCACCGAAAAGGAAUCGCAGAAGAUCAACUCUACUUCUAACUCCAACAACAAAACGAAUGUCACGUGUUUUGGAUACAACAAGAAAUGGCACUACAAGAACGAUUGCCUGAAUAUCAAGAAAAAGAGAGUUCUCAAAGUUAUGUGGGAUGAAUCGUCCGCGGAGGAGACGACGAUGAACCAAGGCACACCAACUACCUCGCGCUGAUGACAUUUGGACUAGAGUUGGAGAGUGAAUAAGAAGACGGGUCCGAACCUGAAUUGAGCCACGAGUCCGUACUUGUUUCCGAAGGUUCCGAUGAGGAGCCCAUGAAGGAUCCACAAAUAGCCGCAGAUGGCUUCACCUACGAAGCUGAAGCUAUUGAGGGAUGGUUUGCUAGUGGCCACGGCACAUCGCCGAUGACUAAUCUUAAGCUUGACCAUCACGAGCUAAUCCCCAACCACACCCUUCGACAUGCAAUUCAAGGAUGGCUUCAACAGAUGACUCAGAAUAGUGCCUGGGGCAAGGAGAAUGCCAGCACUAAUUUGUCCAGUACUGA